rnacentral:rRNA from 1 species
UACAGAGGGGGCAAGCGUUGUUCGGAAUUACUGGGCGUAAAGCGCACGUAGGCGGCUCUUUAAGUCGGGGGUGAAAUCCUGGAGCUCAACUCCAGAACUGCCUUCGAUACUGAAGAGCUCGAGUCCGGGAGAGGUGAGUGGAACUGCGAGUGUAGAGGUGAAAUUCGUAGAUAUUCGCAAGAACACCAGUGGCGAAGGCGACUACCUGGCCUGUUUCUUGACGCUGAGGCGCGAAAGCUAGGGGAGCAACAGGG